GACGAACGCUGGCGGCGUGCUUAACACAUGCAAGUCGAACGGAAAGGCCCUGCUUUUGUGGGGUGCUCUAGUGGCGAACGGGUGAGUAACACGUGAGUAACCUGCCCUUGACUUUGGGAUAACUUCAGGAAACUGGGUCUAAUACCGGAUAGGAGCUCCUGCUUCAUGGUGGGGUUUGGAAAGUUUCGGCGGUUGGUGAUGGACUCGCGGCUUAUCAGCUUGUUGGUGGGGUAGUGGCUUACCAAGGCUUUGACGGGUAGCCGGCCUGAGAGGGUGACCGGCCAAAUUGGGACUGAGCUACGGCACAGACUCCUACGGGAGGCAGCAGUGGGGAAUAUUGCACAAUGGGAGGAAGCCUGAUGCAGCCACGCAGCGUGAGGGAUGACGGCCUUCGGGUUGUAAACCGCUUUCGCCUGUGACGAAGCGUGAGUGACGGUAAUGGGUAAAGAAGCACCGGCUAACUACGUG
rnacentral:rRNA from 1 species